GACGAACGCUGGCGGCGUGCUUAACACAUGCAAGUCGAACGGUGACCCAGGGCUUGCCCUGGUGAUCAGUGGCGAACGGGUGAGUAACACGUGGGCAACCUGCCCCUGACUUCGGGAUAACUCCUCGAAAGAGGAGCUAAUACCGGAUACGACCACUUCGGACAUCCGAUGGUGGUGGAAAGUUUUUCGGUCAGGGAUGGGCCCGCGGCCUAUCAGCUAGUUGGUGGGGUAAUGGCCUACCAAGGCGACGACGGGUAGCCGGCCUGAGAGGGCGACCGGCCACACUGGGACUGAGACACGGCCCAGACUCCUACGGGAGGCAGCAGUGGGGAAUAUUGCGCAAUGGGCGAAAGCCUGACGCAGCGACGCCGCGUGAGGGAUGAAGGCCUCGGGUUGUAAACCUCUUUCAGCAGGGACGAAGCGAAAGUGACGGUACCGUGCAGAAGAAGACACCGGCUAACUACGUGCCAGCAGCCGCGGU
rnacentral:rRNA from 1 species